rnacentral:rRNA from 1 species
GACGAACGCUGGCGGCGUGCUUAACACAUGCAAGUCGAACGGAAAGGCCCUGCUUUUGUGGGGUGCUCGAGUGGCGAACGGGUGAGUAACACGUGAGUAACCUGCCCUUGACUUUGGGAUAACUUCAGGAAAAUGGGGCUAAUACCGGAUAGGAGCUCCUGCUGCAUGGUGGGGGUUGGAAAGUUUCGGCGGUUGGGGAUGGACUCGCGGCUUAUCAGCUUGUUGGUGGGGUAGUGGCUUACCAAGGCUUUGACGGGUAGCCGGCCUGAGAGGGUGACCGGCCACAUUGGGACUGCGAUACGGCCCAGACUCCUACGGGAGGCAGCAGUGGGGAAUAUUGCACAAUGGGCGGACGCCUGAUGCAGCAACGCCGCGUGCGGGAUGACGGCCUUCGGGUUGUAAACCGCUUUCGCCUGUGACGAAGCGUGAGUGACGGUAAUUGGUAAAGAAGCACCGGCUAACUACGUG